rnacentral:rRNA from 1 species
GAUGAACGCUGGCGGCGUGCCUAAUACAUGCAAGUAGAACGCUGAAGGAGGAGCUUGCUCUUCUGGAUGAGUUGCGAACGGGUGAGUAACGCGUAGGUAACCUGCCUGGUAGCGGGGGAUAACUAUUGGAAACGAUAGCUAAUACCGCAUGACAACAGUUAUUGCAUGAUAACUGUUAAAAAGGGGCAACUGCUCCACUACCAGAUGGACCUGCGUUGUAUUAGCUAGUUGGUGAGGUAACGGCUCACCAAGGCGACGAUACAUAGCCGACCUGAGAGGGUGAUAGGCCACACUGGGACUGAGACACGGCCCAGACUCCUACGGGAGGCAGCAGUAGGGAAUCUUCGGCAAUGGACGGAAGUCUGACCGAGCAACGCCGCGUGAGUGAAGAAGGUUUUCGGAUCGUAAAGCUCUGUUGUAAGAGAAGAACGAGUGUGAGAGUGGAAAGUUCACACUGUGACGGUAUCUUACCAGAAAGGGACGGCUAACUACGUG